AGGUCUGUAAGAAUUUUGAAAGAAAUCGGCCACUAGUUGGUGCUAACGAGUUUUAUGGCUCUGUAAUCACGUGGUGUUUCACAUAUCAACACAAUAUGCAUAUCAUUUGAUAGAUCUCCUCAUAAUGCACAACUUUGCCUCAAGAACCAUUGCUGUCAAUCAAAUCGUUCAAUUGUUAUUCACAAAUAUGUUAAAAACCUACUUUUGCGAACUAGUCCUAGGUUUUUUGCCCGAUCGGAACCAAACCACUGCAGUAAUAUUCUGUGGACUCUCUAGAUCAAUAAUUAUUAACAAAAUGUUGAAUUUUGUCCUUUGGUUAGCUGUAAAGGGGUAAUUUAGAAAAAGGGGUGUGGCCAAACAUACCCCAAAGCCUAUAAAACCUAAAGGAAAACUCAAAACUUUAUGAAACUCAGUGAAAUCAUGUAACAGGUGACUCUUAACAAGCAUGCAAAGUUUCAUGGAGAUCAGACCAUAGGUGGCGCUAUAACAGUAGAAAAGGUCUCAAAACACAAGAUUUAUAUGGUAAAUGGCCUCAAAUUGUUUGAAAAUGUUCAUAUAUUCACUCAAAAACACUAAAUCUUCAUAUCAUAUGAUAAAUCUCCUCAUUCUGAACAACUUUGCCUCUUGGACCAAUGUUGUCAAUAAAGCUGUUAAUUAAAUAUUCAAGAUUAUUUAAAAAAGUUACUUUGGCAUACUUGUGAUACGGUUUAAGAUGAAAAUCAAUAAAACCACUGAAGUACAA